UGCAAUGUCAUGAAUGUGUAGAAUAUUUUCUUUGUUCAUAUAUUUAAAGCUAUUGGAUCAUAUAACAACGAAUUUUAAACAUGCCAAAAAAUCAAACAAAUGUGAAAUUGUCAUUUCUUGUACAUAUAAAUUAUUGAUUUUUAAUACAUUUAUUACUUUAAAUGGAAUAUUGCCAACACAAUGAACUGAAACCUGAAGAUUACUUAUUUCAAGCCUCACUACUGAUGGUAGGGGACAUUAUGUUUUAUGAGUCAUUUCAUUAGUAACUAAAAAACAAGGUCUUAUAUACAAUAAGUAAACAUUGGAAUAAAUACUGUUUUUUGAAUAUUAAUUCUACAAAAAUCAAUAAAUCUGUUCUUUAUAAAAAAAAAAAAGGUCCAGCAAUAUGAUGAUAUAUUUUGUUUAUCUGUUUUUAGAAUCAGAGCAGUUUAGCUGAUACGUUCAGUACCCUACUUUUUUAAUUUGUUUUGAAUAUUAAAAACCACUGUGAUUGAUGAUAAUCUAAUAAUUUAAUAAUUAUAUGCUGUUUUGUGUUUUUUUUUGUUACACUUACUUUGUACACAUGCCAUGGGAAGGCACUUUCAAAAUGGGGUAUAAAUCACCAUUAGAGGUGAAUUUAGAGUUUCACUCAUAUUUUCACUGUACCAUGAUGUACACCCACAAAGAAAUUACAGAAAGCUAAUGAAAUAUAUUAAGCCCUAGUCCCACUAAACCACGAUCGCACCACACUCACCGCGAUCUAAAAUAAGUUCAGAUCGUGGUGAGGUCGCGGUAUGAGUGGCAUGAAAAUGUAAAUUUUCGCUGCUUUCACGAUAAUACUACGUCCUCAUUACGCUUCUACAACAAUCCCGCUAUGAAUAUACCACGUUCUCACUGCGCUUAUCAAGAUCUUUCUAUGCUCAUCACGUUCUCACUACAACCAUACCACGAGUUAUCCGAUUGCAACACGAUCUUACCACGCUUCUACUGCAAUUAUAGCACGUUCUUACCACGAUUAUACUACAUUCAUACCGCAAUCUUACUACGUUCCAAACAAUAAUAUCAAUAUCGUGUUCCAUAUCAAAACAGUUCCAGUACUUCAUGUCUGAUUAAUACGUAGAUUUCUCGGAAGCAAUACAGUCAUGCCACCCAAAUUUACUUGAACAUGUGGGCGUGGUGCUAUAGAGGUUGAUGAAGAGGCAGAGGGAGUAAAGUAACAAACUUGAUCAAUUCAACCUAAAUUAAACCUAUUGCUGGUCCAUAAAGCUCAAAUGACAUUAUUUUAGUGAACAAUAGCAGAGAUGACACAGACGUAUCAAUUGCUAUUGGAAGAUGUGGUAUGACUGCCAAUGAGACAUACUCUCCAUCCAAGUAACAAUUUAUAAAAGUAAACCAUUAUAGGCCAAUUACGGCCUUCAACACGGAGCCUUGGCUCACAUCGCACAGGAAGCUAUAAAGGGCCCAAAAAAUUACUAGUUUAAAACCAUCUAAACGGGAAAACCAACAGUCUAAUCUAUAUAAAAACGAGAAGCAUGGUUGAGCCGUUAGAGCAAAUGGAUAAUUACAUACAGACUAACAAAAUGUAGGGAGCUUUUUUAUAUAUUUUUUUGUGAAAAAGACAAUGAGAAUGAUGGUCGUAGUAUGGACAUAGUUAUGUGGUAAGAAAAGCGUGAUGAGGACGGCAUGGGCGCCCUAGAAUCGUACUAUGGUCCCAAACAGCGUCGUAGUCGUAGUGGAAGCUUUGUUGGGUCGUAGUGAGGUCUCUGAGAGAUCGUAACGUAGUCCCUCUGAAUAGAAUCAUGCUCUCGCUACGAUGGUACAGCAACCUUUACUACGAUCUUAGUACGCUUCUACUAUGACCUGCUUUCAGCACGAUCGCACCACGAUUGUUUUGAACAUGUUCAAAGUAGGCCAAGCUCAUCACGAUCUUGAAGACCUAACCAUGACUGUGAUACGACCUUACUGCAAACUAUACAAUUUUACUACGAUCAUCAAAAUUUGUAUUUUUUUCACAGAUCAUAGUGUGAUCGUUGCCUAGUGGGACUUCAGUAUUAACUACCAUGAUGAAAAAAGUAACAUAUUUCUAUGAUAAGAACACUAAAGUUUUUGUUUAAGGUGGCUCAGGCCUAUUCGAAGUUUCUGUCAGAAGUGCCGUAUUUUUUGUUAUUUUAAACUUUACAGAGAGUGAAUCAAAUUGUUUGAAAAAAAUAGGGUGUCAUUUAAGCUCAAAAUAUUACUUUUAAAGAGGUAUGUAAAAGGGACUGUUUUUCAAUGAAAUGAUGGGGAAAACAGAGAUGUUGACAUAUUUUUAUCAGAUUAUCAAAAAAAACCGUUCUGUGACACUUCAUCAAAAACUGUAAUAUAAAAAGCUGAAAUAUAGCUUCAAAGAAUGAGCAAAUAAAAAACAUAGGUCACCUAUAAGCAAAAAAAAUAUAUUUUGCCUUAAAACCAAAAUUUUGGCAGGAAAAUGGUGAAAUUUAGUGAAAUGUCAUUUUGAGCCUUUCACAGAUACACAUAAUAAUGAUAAAAGUACAGUGAUUUAACAUUUUUAAUCAAUCAAAAUAUUUAACAAAAAAAAAAUGAAUUUAAGACACAAACUUUUCGUGUGCAUGGUAAUUCAUGCGUGAAAUUACAUGCGCAGUCGAAUAGUCCCGAUCCACCUUAAUGUGUAUGGAGAUUUUCUUAUUGAGUAUUUGUACUAGUAUUUGUUCUUUUAAAUGUUGAAAGAUGAUUAAUCUUGAAUCUAAAGAAUGAUUUGCUUUCUAAGUUAUUCUUUGUUUAUAUUGUGU
rnacentral:lncRNA from 1 species